rnacentral:rRNA from 1 species
AUUGAACGCUGGCGGCAGGCCUAACACAUGCAAGUCGAGCGAGCGGCGGACGGGUGAGUAAUGUCUGGGAAACUGCCUGAUGGAGGGGGAUAACUACUGGAAAAGGUAGCUAAUACCGCAUACCAUCAGAUGUGCCCAGAUGUGAUUAGUUAGUAGGUGGGGUAACGGCUCACCUAGGCGAAGAUCCCUAGCUGGUAUGAGAGGAUGACCAGCCACACUGGAACUGAGACAAGGUCCAGCCUCCUUCGAGAUGCAGCAGUGGGGAAUAUUGCACAUUGGGAGCAAGCCUGAUGCAGCCAUGCCGCGUGUGUGAAGAAGGCCUUCGGGUUGUAAAGCACUUUCAGCGGGGAGGCGUUACCCGCAGAAGAAGCACCGGCUAACUCCGUGCCAGCAGCCGCGGUAAUUC